UACAACCCUGCCAUUGUGUCGUUUUGGAAACAAUCACAAACGGUUCGGUUUUAACGAGGAUCCACAUAUUUUUUGUGGAUCCUUUUAUAAGUGUAUUUUGAUUGCUCGAUACUGAUUAAGUUAAUUGAGGGAUCCGUAAUUGAGAAACGAAAUCCUUUUCCAAAAAAUUAAAACCCUAAAAAGUUGUUGCGACUCAAUUCUACGGAUUAAGCAGAGGAGGCGGCAGUGAAGAAUCUCUUUAUCGUGUUUUUAUUGGAUUAAGAUCAGCUCUCGAGUGAUGAAACUCAUCUCCAUCCUAGAGGUUUGCUUUGUUUCUCAACUGCCGCUGUUUGAUCCGGUGGCUGGUAGGAUACUACGGCGGCUUUGUGGUUCGUAUGGUUCUUACAUUCAAAAUUCUUCAGUGUCUUAUCAGAAUAUGUAAUUAAACUGAUCGGCUUUUUUGGUACAUUUGGCUUGGAUAGAGGAACAACCACGAGACUAGCCUUGAUUUCUUUAUUGGGUCUCCCUGGUAGACUCAUUAAAUCCGUAAAUUAAGAAUCCUUUUGUUAUCAGUUUACAUUCUAGAUUUGAUGUAAAUAUGUAUUUGUGAAAAGGAAUCUUAAUUUUUUGUAAGAGACAUUAGUUUAUGAUCAUUUAUCUGAACAUGUUUUUUGUUAUGAUGAUUAGAUCAGAUGAAGCAUCUCUGAUAUCGGUUAGGCUUCUCAAAUGUUUCUUCUAAUUCUUUAAUUGUGCAGCAGUAGAUCCAAGAUGGUUUUGAAGGAUGGACAAGUUUCACAACAAAAUUUGUCUUCUCAUUUGCGAGUUUCAAGCCAACCACGGGAGAAGGUGGUAUUAUUUUCACAUUGCCAAACAGUUGCAGGUGAGUUAUCUUUUUCAAUUCCCACUACUCAUUAAACAUUGCUUAAACUAAUGUCUCACGCACAUUCAUCAGUCAAAGUCUAACUCUCAAGUCUGCUUUCUCCCUAUCAAGUGAUGAUAUAUUUGCUAUCUGGGAACAGGUUUAUUCUCUUGAUGAAAGAGGGAUCUUCUUCAAAACAGUGAUUGUAAACAGAUAUCCUGAUUGUGAAUAUAUUUCGUUUUACACUUUAUCAGGUUUAGGGCUGCAUGCUUCUACUACUGCUGCCAAUUUAUCUAAAGAGAAGGUCAAUUGCGAUGUAAGUUUAUCUUUCUUCUCACUUGCGAUAGUAUGUUGUGUCGUUAGUGAGGGCUUUCAAUAUCAUCUAUUGCUAUGGCCAGCAUGUGUUCCAAAUAAACAGAAUCAAAUCAGGAAAUCUGUUAAUUGGUGCUCAUGUGGUAAGUUAUCUUAUCCAUCUUUUAGCAUUGACAUCUUUCCAUUUGAUUUUGAGAGAUUGAGGAUCUUAAACAAAGCCAUUAACUUCUAAUACUCAUACUAUUAAUUUACGAUUCAUACAUAAAGUAGAGAGGUGCUGGGUAAUUGUCUUCAUAACUUUCAUAAUGAAAGUUUCAUUUAGUUGGUCAGUUUUCAUUUACAUAUCAUUUUCAAUUUUAAGUAAUAUAUAGAAACACAAAUAUCUGACCAUUAUUUAUGUGUCUUUUGUUUUUAAUGGGUAGCAUUUUUCCCAAUAGGGAGUGAGACCGUAUGUGAUGGGGCAGAUCUUGGUUUUCUAUAUAAUGGCCAUGAGAAACGUUUUUUUUUGUUGUUUUCAAUCGUAUGAGACUGCUUGCCUUAGUGGCUGCGUGAAUACCGGUUUCCUCGCGGGACACAGACGGAUAAGAAUAAGAAGAAGACGAGGAGAUAGAAGAAUCAAUCUGUCAACAUAUAAAAUAGAAAAAAGGAUUUGACGUGAGGAAAGCAUGUAUCCAACGGAAGGAACAAGAUUGAAAACCAAAAGAACAUAAACUAUUGGCAAAAAGGAAUGAUUCUUCACUAUCAAAAGCUAAAAUCUAUAAGUUUUGUCUACUAACUGUUUGUCAAAAUGGGUGACAUAAAAUUUUGUUUAAUACAGCAGCACAAGAACGUAUUACGGCUCUAUACAUACCUCUUUUUAACUAAAAUUUCUAGAACUCUACUGUCUUUUGCGAUUGUAUCAAAUUCAAGAGUAAAAAAGCAUGCCUAAUUUUCUAAGGCCCGGCCCGUAGCUAAAGCUCGUAAAGCUAGGGCUUUAGACAGCGGAAAAUAUAACAAACUUUAGGGGGACCAUAAUCGUUAAAACUAAAGUGGUGUAGUGGUAAAAGCCCCCACUAUACUAUCAAAGGUGACGAGUUCGAACCUAGCUAGUGUAUUCUUUAGAAAUAUAUUUUGUUUUCUUUGUUUAGUGUUGGGAAAAAAAAAAUUUGCUUCAGGCAGCUAUAUAACUUGCGCCGGCGCUGAAUUCACG